AACAGAGUAGCAGCAGGUGCCUGAGAAGAACACCAACACUCCUUGGGGUGCUGUGGAGAGCAAGAGCUGGCAGGAGAGAGCCUCGCCUGAGCUGUUGCUUCAGAAACUCCCUGCCUAGGAUGCUGCCAGCAGGCAGCUGAGGAGGGAUGCAGCAUUCCAGUGUGGCCCCUGAGGUCUCUUGGUCACUUCUUGACAAAUAAAGUCUCCUAAAGACAGCUGAGGAAGAGUCCCAUUGGUGAGGACCAGCUGGGACCGCUGCUGUGAAGAGCCUGCCCUGGGCAGCGACGCAGGCUGCAGAGAUCCAGCAGAACUCCUGUCUGCCUGAGAUGAUAUUCCAACGUUUGAGGGCUGUGCUCUAGCAUCGAAGAGAUUUCACUUCUCCCAAAGACAUCCUCUGCUCCCUUCUGUGCUCAGCCACCUCAGCAGCAGGACUGGAGUUGGAGUGGAGACUGUGGUGAGGUGCAGCAGUGGCUGAGCCAUGCCAGGCUUUGCAGGGGCCCUGCAGCAAGAGCUCCUUUUGAAUGAUUUUUGUCAGCCUUCCACGAACCUUCUUAAACCCUGGCUCACGGCAGACACAAAGGCUCAGCAUUUCCUGUGCCGUGGAAGAAGUUUGCAAUCAUUUUCUGUAAUCCAAGCAGGCUUAUUUAGCUCUGCUGUUAUGGGAAGGGUUCUGCAAUAAUAAUGCCACUAUUAUAAUACUAUUCCUGUAAUAAUAGCACUUCUGUUAG